CCUACGGGAGGCAGCAGUGAGGAAUAUUGGUCAAUGGACGCAAGUCUGAACCAGCCAUGCCGCGUGCAGGAAGACGGCUCUAUGAGUUGUAAACUGCUUUUGUACGAGGGUAAACGCAGAUACGCGUAUCUGUCUGAAAAUAUCGUACGAAUAAGGAUCGGCUAACUCCGUGCCAGCAGCCGCGGUAAUACGGAGGAUUCAAGCGUUAUCCGGAUUUAUUGGGUUUAAAGGGAGCGUAGGCGGUCGGAUAAGUUAGAGGUGAAAUCCCGAGGCUCAACUUCGGAAUUGCCUCUGAUACUGUUUGGCUAGAGAGUAGUUGCGGUAGGCGGAAUGUAUGGUGUAGCGGUGAAAUGCUUAGAGAUCAUACAGAACACCGAUUGCGAAGGCAGCUUACCAAGCUACUUCUGACGUUGAGGCACGAAAGCGUGGGGAGCAAACAGGAUUAGAUACCCUUGUAGUC
rnacentral:rRNA from 1 species